UACGUAGGGUGCGAGCGUUGUCCGGAAUUAUUGGGCGUAAAGAGCUCGUAGGCGGUCUGUCGCGUCUGCUGUGAAAUCCCGAGGCUCAACCUCGGGCUUGCAGUGGGUACGGGCAGGCUAGAGUGCGGUAGGGGAGACUGGAAUUCCUGGUGUAGCGGUGAAAUGCGCAGAUAUCAGGAGGAACACCGAUGGCGAAGGCAGGUCUCUGGGCCAUUACUGACACUGAGAAGCGAAAGCAUGGGGAGCGAACAGG
rnacentral:rRNA from 1 species